rnacentral:lncRNA from 10 species
CAGCUGGCUUCACCCAGUGGAUCUGGCACUGGGGCUGCAGGUGGAGCUGCCUGCCAGUCCCGCGCCAUGCGCCCACACUCCUCAGCCCUUGGGUGGUCGAUGGGACUGGGCGCCAUGGAGCAGGGGGUGGCGCUCGUUGGGUAGGCUUGGGCUGCACAGGAGCCCACGGCCGGGGGUGGGUGGGGGCGGAGGCUCAGGCAUGGCGAGCUGCAGGUCGUGAGCCCUGCCCAGCGGGAAGGCAGCUAAGGCCCCACGAGAAAUUGAGUGCAGCGCCGGUGAGCCGGCACUGCUGGGGGACCCAGUACACCGUCCGCAGCCGCUGGCUUGGGUGCUAAGCCCCUCACUGCCCGGGGCCGGCAGGGCGGGCCGGCUGCUCCAAGUGCAGGGCCCGCCAAGCCCACGCCCACCCGGAACUCCAGCUAGCCCGCAAGCGCCGCACGCAGUCCCGGUUCCCGCUCGCGCCUCUCCCUCCACAACUCCCUGCAAGCUGAGAGAGCCGGCUCCGGCCUUGGCCAGCCCAGAAAGGGGCUCCAACAGUGCAGCGGCGGGCUGAAGGGCUUCUCAAGUGCAGUCAAAGUGGGAGCCCAGGCAGAGGAGGCGUGGAGAGCGAGGAAGGGCUGUGAGGACUGUCAGCACGCUGUCACCUCUCACUACCACAAAGCAACACAAACUGGGAAGCUCCAAACCACAGACUCGUUAUCUCACUUCUCUGGAGGCUACAAGUCUGAAGUCAAGGCGUCGGCUGGGCUGCGCUCUCCAAAACCUGUAGAGCAGUACCUACAAAAGAAAGCUUGGAAACAUUUUGGAGUAGGAGCGAAGACCUGAAGCUGAGCCUUCUUUUUCCGCCUUGCUGCUGCGAUCAUUCCUCCCUCCCCAGGCAGGUGCUAAGGGCACUGUUUGAGGGGUUCAUUCCCCAGGGCCUGGGAGGUUCAGGUCAAAAGCAAGCACGAAUGAGAGGUGCAGCCACAUUUACUCAUGUUGGAAAUACUGUAUUGAAAAAAUACACUCAUGAUUGCUGUGGGAGAAUGGGUACGUUGACACGCUUGUAAAGUAAAACAUAAUAUAAAACCAUAUCAAUUUGUAUCUAAAAAUUGUUUUCCUUUAAGAAUAUACCCAAAGGAUAUAAUUCAAAAUUGGAAAAU